AGAAAAAACUGGAAUCGUCUACAUAAUUAGGGGAAUGAAAUCAAUAUUGGAUAUCGGUGAAUACAGAGGCAAUUUUCCAAAAGGAGAAAGUGGAGAACCCACACCUAAUUUGAUCCUGGGCAAGACUCAAGAAAGGAUUAUUUAAGGCUGCACCGGGUCUUAGUUGUUGGAAGCAGGAUCUUCGUUGCUGCUUGCAGCAUGUGUGCGAGAUCUAGUUCCCGACCAGGGACUAACCUGGGCCGCCUGCAUUGGGAGCACGGAGUCUUACUCACUGGACCACCAGGGAAGUCCCUGUAUUUUAAGUUUAAAGGCUAUGUGUGUUUUUAUACUGUAAGUCAUCUCACAACCAAUUUUCAGGGUCAGCUUUGACUAAUGAAGGUAUUUGUGAAUGGAAAUAUUUAGGUUCCUGAAUAAAAGAACAGAAAUGUCACUGGCACAUACAAAAACACACAUGCUAUUACUGGAACUGGAAAAAAAAAAAGGCUGAAUAAACAGCAAAUGAUGAUAGCUUCACCAUCAGAAGUAAACACUGAUGUAGGACGUUAUUAUAAUACUCUUAAAGUAACAUUAUUUUAACAGCACAACAUUUCAGAGAAUAGUGGAACAUUUCUAGAUUUAGAAUAAAUAAUUUUAAAUUUGAAGCUAGACUAGAAUGGCUCAACAUUUAAGACAGAUAAUGAUCACUAUCUAGGAUGGAAAAUUAAAUAUAAGAUUAUUAAUUUGGUGGUUAGCAAAGUGAGAGAAGAAAAAAUAUGUAAAAAACCCCAAAUCUUUGUAUUAUCAACUUCAGCUAGGUUAUACAAAGUCAUGUUGAAUAAUUUUAUAUGCACGCAUAUUUGAACUACCAAAAAAAAAAGUGGAAAAUUAAGGAAUGUUCCAUU